rnacentral:rRNA from 1 species
UACGUAGGAGGCAAGCGUUGUCCGGAAUUACUGGGCGUAAAGGGCGCGUAGGCGGCCACCGCAAGUCGACUGUGAAAUCUCCGGGCUUAACCCGGAAAGGUCAGCCGAUACUGCGGGGCUAGAGUGCAGAAGGGGCAACUGGAUUUCUCGGUGUAGCGGUGAAAUGCGUAGAUAUCGAGAGGAACACCUGCGGCGAAGGCGGGUUGCUGGGCUGACACUGACGCUGAGGCGCGAAAGCUAGGGGAGCGAACGGG